rnacentral:tRNA from 2 species
GCGGAUAUAGAUGAAUUGGUACAUCAGUAAUUUUCCAUGUUAAAAGUUAUGGGUUCAAAUCCCAUUGUCCGCU